rnacentral:lncRNA from 1 species
CUUGGUCCAUACCUUGUUCAAUUUCAGUUUAUUAGUGUUCUUUUAUCGUCUCCGACUUAUCUCCGGGCAGCCAUGGCUAUUCGAGUCAGACUGUUGACACUCCUACUUAGAUCGAUGGAUUUCAAGGCCUUUCUCGUCACUUGGGGUUCCUCUGAAACCCUAACCUCUAUGGUUCUUUCAAUUUCUAUUAGAUCUAUUACGGAUAUAUGUUUUCUCUGACCUUCUAAGCAUUAUUCUCCAAAAUGUUUCUUAAAACUCUACCGUCAAAUAAAGAUUAGGGUUCUUGUUAAGCUAUUUUAAUAUUUUCUCUGAUUUGUUGACAUGUUCUGUUGGGGUUCCUCAUAUAGUUUUUCUACUUAUGUUUGCAUGUCAAAAUCCCUAAUAUCUUAUGACUGCUUAUUUGACGAAUCUUUGUUUGCCUGAAUUUCUGUCCGAUUUGUUUGUUUAUCCUCUUUAAAACUCUUCUAUUGUUGAAAAUCCUAUGGUUUUGGGUCUGAGGCUGUUCGUUUAAGUGCAUAACUCGAUUUUGAAGUUCUUUAUUUCAAAAUCUCUUAUUCCAUUGUGUGAUUCUUCUGACUCUGGUUUUCUAUCAUCUAUAAAAAUUGAUUAUGCUCGAAACCCUAUUUUUCAGUAGGGGUUUUCUUCACCUGCUACUGCGAGAUCUUCACGUGCUUCAAUAUUCUAUGUUUUCUUCACUACUCGGCUACCUAGCAGUUUGACAAUUUCCAUACAGAGAUACACUAAUUUUGAAAGAAUUCAGCAAAGCAAAGGCUAGGCUGUGGGAAACUUGCUUAUUUUCUGCAUUUGCAUUUCUUCUUGGUAUGUUCUAAUUAAGUUUUC